AUUGAACGCUGGCGGCAUGCCUUACACAUGCAAGUCGAACGGCAGCACGGGAGCAAUCCUGGUGGCGAGUGGCGAACGGGUGAGUAAUGUAUCGGAACGUACCUUUCAGUGGGGGGAUAACGUAGCGAAAGUUACGCUAAUACCGCAUAUUCUGUGAGCAGGAAAGCAGGGGGAUCGCAAGACCUUGCGCUGAUUGAGCGGCCGAUAUCAGAUUAGCUAGUUGGUGAGGUAAAGGCUCACCAAGGCGACGAUCUGUAGCGGGUCUGAGAGGAUGAUCCGCCACACUGGAACUGAGACACGGUCCAGACUCCUACGGGAGGCAGCAGUGGGGAAUUUUGGACAAUGGGCGCAAGCCUGAUCCAGCCAUGCCGCGUGAGUGAAGAAGGCC
rnacentral:rRNA from 1 species